rnacentral:rRNA from 1 species
AACAACUUAUACACACACGCACCAGUUCUCGUCCGAUCACUGAAGUUAAGCAACAUUGGGCAUGGUCAGUACUUGGAUGGGUGAGCGCUUGGGAACACCAUAUACCGUUGGUA